UACGUAGGGGGCGAGCGUUGUUCGGAAUUACUGGGCGUAAAGGGCGCGUAGGCGGCGAUUCUAGUCAGAUGUGAAAGUCCUGGGCUUAACCUGGGGACUGCAUUUGAUACUGGAUUGCUUGAAUUCGGGAGAGGAUAGCGGAAUUCCCAGUGUAGAGGUGAAAUUCGUAGAUAUUGGGAAGAACACCGGUGGCGAAGGCGGCUAUCUGGACCGACAUUGACGCUGAGGCGCGAAAGCGUGGGGAGCAAACAGG
rnacentral:rRNA from 1 species